rnacentral:tRNA from 1 species
GGUUGUAGCUCAGCAGUAGAGCGCUCACCUAGCACGUGAGAGGCACUGGGUUUCAAUCCUCAGCACCA